UACGUAGGUGGCAAGCGUUGUCCGGAAUCAUUGGGCGUAAAGCGCGCGUAGGUGGCUUCGUAAGUCCGUUGUGAAAGUCAAAGGCUCAACCUUUGAAAGCCGAUGGAUACUGUGAAGCUAGAGUACGGAAGAGGCGAGUGGAAUUCCUGGUGUAGCGGUGGAAUGCGCAGAUAUCAGGAGGAACACCAAUAGCGAAGGCAGCUCGCUGGGACGUUACUGACACUGAGGCGCGAAAGCGUGGGGAGCGAACAGG
rnacentral:rRNA from 1 species